GGGGUCCGUAGUCAACUUGGAACCCUUAUAGUUUCGCCAUGUCCGUCCGUCUGUCUGCCUGUCCGAGGCUUUGCUCCGUGAUCGGUAGUGCUAGAAAGCUGCAAUUUGGAAUGGAUAUUUUAAUCAAUAAAUCCCACAGUCUCGUACAAUAAAAUCUAAAAUCAAAAAAGUCUUAGGGUACCUCCCCUACACGUAAAGUGGGGGU